UUAUAAUCUGCUGAGAUGGCAUUGUUCUUUCUCUCACUCUUUCAUACAAAACCUUAUUUUCUUUCUUUAUCACUCCCCAAAAAUUGAACCUGCUAACAUUAUUUUCCAUUGUUCGUUAAUAAAACUACUUACUAGUCCAUAUAGCCACUGUGUUUAUGACAGUUCGAUUCAGAUCAUCGUAUCAGUUGUUAAAUUCUUUAACUGUCAGAGUGAAUAAGAUACGGUAUAGAGAAGUUUUGUUUUUAUUAUCUGACAGAUUUAUCCAAUAUAUUUCACCUAAUAGUUAUCUUCUACCGAGCUGUCCGAAAAUUGACAAAAUCCUACUAGAGGGAAGAUCAUUCAAAUGAGGACGAUUUCUGACGAGUGAGUGCGUUAUUUGAAGUGAAUUGAUAACAAGAAAGAAAUGCAAGAUAUCAGGGGGAAAUUUAAGGAAGGAUACUCCUAUUGCAGACACAACGGGGGCGACGAUGAAGACCUUCAAUUACUACUGGUUGAUGACCUACCGGCUCCGUUCACUAACCCUGCACUGGGAAGAUGCCAUGGAAUAUCUCAAGGAGCCACACAGAUAAUCAGCGAUUGGCCGGAUCAGGUCUCCAGAGUUCUAAUUAUCACCCUGGUUACAGCAAUUUCAGCUCUAAUUAUUCUAGUCACUCUAAUAUUGGCAAUGGAAGAAAUUGAAAGAAUCUAUUAGUGAAUGAUAACUUAUCAACGAUAAAUACUAAAAACAAGAUGAUAUGAAUGAUUAUAAAUUGAAAACAGGAAAAUAAAUUACCCCAACCUGUGUAUCUGAGAUGAUCUCAGAAUUUCAAAAAUCCUAUGUUUAUACUUGUUAGACCCUAAUACUAUUAUUAAGAAAACGAUAUGUGGGUAUCAUACACAGCACCAAACUGAUUUUAAUGAGUUAAGAAAUGUGUAAAUAAAAUCAAAAAAUUAAUUGUCUACCGUAUCUUUUUAGUGGAAGAAAUCAACAGACUACAAAUUGAAUACCGUAUAUUAAAAAUUAAUUAGGUCUUUUAUCGA